AUAUAGCUCAGAGAGCUCCGCUCUUGCUAUUGGGGGCGGAUGUCAGCGGUUCGAGUCCGCUUAUCUCCA
rnacentral:tRNA from 2 species